UUAUUGGUCUGAACAUUUCAACAUAUAUAUAUAAAUACUACUGGAAAAAAGAACCUAGGCAACGAAAUUAUAUUAAUUUCGUAGCCUAAGUGGGACUUAGACGACGGAAAACAGUUUCGUAGCCUAAGAAAGACUUAGGCGACGAAAAUGUAUUCUGUGGUCUAAGAAUCUCUUAGACGACGGAAAUAUAUACUUAGGCGACGAAAUUAUUUUUUAAAAAAAUAAAAAUAAAAAUAAAUUACUUAGGCGACGGAAAUGUAUUCCUUGGUCUAAGAAUCGCUUAAACGACGGAAAAAUUUACUUAGGCGACGAAAUUAUUAUUUUUAAAAAUAAAAAAAUAAUAAUUAAUUACUUACGCGACGAAAGUAUAACUUUUCGUCGCCUAACUACCGAAAUUUUUAGCGGCAACAUUUCCGCCAAAACAUUUCACGAAAACUCAAACCAAAAAUUUUAAAAAUUUUAUUUUCUUUUUAACUUAAACUCUACCCUCACUCUCCUAAAAAAGCUCCACCCUCACCCAAAAAAUUAACUCUCUCACUCUCCCUUCAUACCAUCCCUCUCCUCUUCUCGAGGCCUCACUCUCUUUAACUCCGUCUGCCGUCGUCAUCUCCGGCGUAGCGUUGCCGGUUCCGGCUGCCGCACGCCACAAGAUCACCACCAAAACGUCCACUUUUCCCUCCUCUACCUCCUCAUACUCACCAGGUCGACAUGUAUCCACUCUCCAAGGAGAUCAAAGCCGAGGUAGCACGGCGGAGUUCGCCGAUUUCAGGGGAGCUUGGGCAACGACAGCAACUUCGGUGAGUAGGGUUUCUUUCCUCUUCUCUUCUUCUUCCGGUCCAUGUCUUUAAUAUUUGGAUUGGAGCCCUAAUGUGAAAAUCCCCUUUUCUACCAUUUUUCUAGGUUUGUUGAGGUCGUUUUUCGGCGAGGCUUCUGGUGAGACCAGACGAGGACACACGGGUCAAUGACGCCGUCGUCGGCGGCGGCGGCGGCUCCCGGGUCGGCCCGGUCGGGGGCGAGCGAGGACUGACAGCCGAGAGUGAAGCGGGCCGUGGCGGUCCAUUCGGGUUCGGAGCUUACAGAGUAGAGGGAGAGAAAUAGGUAAGGUUGGUUUGGAUAGGAAUAAAUCAAAGGUGGUUGAUUUGAGGAAGAGACUAGGACUGAUUCAUGAUCGGGCCAUAUUUUCGUGCUGGGAUUUGCCUGAUCUGUGCUAGGAUUUGCCGGAUCGGUGGUGGUAUUUGGGGCAGAGGCCGCUGCGGCGGUGAUGUCAAUUUUUAUUUUUUAUUUUUUCAAACUUAGCGAUGGAAUCCAAUAAUUCCGUCGCCUAGGGGAAAAAUAAUUUUUUUUGUCAUUAAACAAUAUCCAUCGCCUAAGUGCUUAGGAGACGAAAAAAUUCCAUCGCCUAAGUACUUAGGAGACGGAAAAAAUUCCGUCGCCUAAGUAAUUCUUAGUCGACGAAACUUAAUUUUUCGUCGCCCUAACACUUACCUCACAUCACUUAGGCGACGGAUCUUAGGCGACAGAUAUUUCGUCGUCUAAGUACUUAAGAGAUGAAUUUUGUUACUUAGGAGACGAAACUAUUCCGUCUCCUAAGUGACUUUUUCCAAUAGUACAAAUGAAUAAUUCUCAUAAUUAAAGGAUACCCUAAUAAAUAAGUAUCCAAAUUAGAUGCGCAGACAUUUUUUUUUGUUUUAUUACGCACAAGAAUCUUAUGAUCCAAUCCACACUCAUAGUUAUUGAGAAUCACCAUUUUAGGGCAUAUUAAACUAAAUGACUCUAGACUACUUGGAAGUCAUUCAACUAAAAGGCCUCUACCAAAGAAAAUUCACUCCGGCUUCUCCGGAGUUGAGAAUACCGAAACCCUAGUUUCAUGUGCAAGGCAGUGGCAACGCUUGUUUCCAGGGACGGAACUAGGAUUGGAAAAUAGGGUAGGCUAAUUUUCUUUAGUGUUUCAUGUAUUGGGUGAAGCCAAUUUUUUGUUUUGUUUUUGGGGUCUCCAUAAAACUUCCACUAUAGAUGUCAGGACUCACCCCAAAUUUCACCUUGAAACCCGAGGUAAAUUCUGCGGGGUCCACCUUUAAGGAAAAUUAACCGAAAAUUCGGCAUAAUCUUCCUUGAAAAUGGACAACCCUUACCUGAAAAAUCCAACUUAACACUUCUAUAAACAAACAUCCAUCCUCAACACCUGGAGCCUUCCUGCUCCCCAAGUUCAUCACAUCUCCCAAUAUAACAAUUACUCAACUAAACUAAAUCCACAACCAACAAUAACCAAAAUUAAUUCACUAACUGGUUAUCAGAGCAUAUCUAAAGUUAAACGAAAAACAAUGACUAAAGAAUAAGCGGAAGCAGCCUCUGACUAUGCCUCGACUCCAUGUACACUCGACCUCAAAUAACUUAGCCUGCAAACUGGGCAUUUAAAACCAAAUGGCCCAGGGGAAAGUAAUUUUAAAACGUUAGAGUGAGUGGACAAAAAAAAUAAUUGAAAUAAUUUAACAAUACGCAAUUUAAUCUUUUCCACAUUUCAACUUUAAAAGCUUUUAACUGCACGCAAUUUUGAUAAAUCAAAUAGCUUAAAUCGAGAAACCCAUAUGAAUGGACAAACCAGCCCCGCUGGUUAAUAAAAUAAAGAAAUCUCGUAAGAAGAGAUAAACCAGCCCCGCUGGUUAAUCAAAUAAAUUACUGAGAAGAAUAAAAUAAGGGGAAGAGUUAUCACCAUGUAAAAAGAGCCUCCCAAGCUAUAAUAGCGUUCCACGCUAAGCGCUCUACUCACCUAUAGUGAGUAGCCACUAAUAAUGGCUAGCUAACAAAUAAAUAUAAAUACCGAUUGGUUGCCUCCCAAGCUAUAAUAGCGUCCCACGCUAAGCGCUCUACUCACCUAUGGUGAGUAGCCGCUAAUAAUGGUUAGCUAGCAGUAAUCAAUAUAAGCGACCCUAUAUUAUGGUGACUAAAAAAAAAACACGAAAACACUUAAAUCCAUUAAUCUUCCCCAAGAUCAUAUGAAUGGUACGGUUCCCAACCGUACUUGAAAAUCAUCAU
rnacentral:lncRNA from 1 species